rnacentral:miRNA from 1 species
GGUUGUGCCCACAGGCACGACUGGUUUGGCAAUUCAGUAAAAAUGCUCAAACUGGCUGUGCCUGUGGACACAGCCCA